UACGUAGGUGGCAAGCGUUGUCCGGAAUUAUUGGGCGUAAAGGGCUCGUAGGCGGUUGAUCGCGUCGGAAGUGAAAACUUGGGGCUUAACCCUGAGCGUGCUUUCGAUACGGGUUGACUUGAGGAAGGUAGGGGAGAAUGGAAUUCCUGGUGGAGCGGUGGAAUGCGCAGAUAUCAGGAGGAACACCAGUGGCGAAGGCGGUUCUCUGGACCUUUCCUGACGCUGAGGAGCGAAAGCGUGGGGAGCAAACAGGCUUAGAUACCCUGGUAGUCCACGCUGUAAACGGUGGGUACUAGGUGUGGGGUCCAUUCCACGGAUUCCGUGCCGUAGCUAACGCAUUAAGUACCCCGCCUGGGGAGUACGGCCGCAAGGCUAAA
rnacentral:rRNA from 1 species